AUGAUUUUGGUAUCUGCAUCUCAAGUAUUUUGUAGCUAUAGCUUCUCAGAAUACUGUAUUUUUCUUUUCCGAUCAAGGGAUCUUUCCUUGGGGGAAGGAAGCCAAAUGUCUUCUGUCAGAUAGGUUAACAAGCAGGUCCUAUUUGGGAGACGGGGUUAACAUGCCCCAAACUCCCGCUGUUAGUUUCAACUUUAGCAAAUGAAAAAAAAAAAAAAAAAAAAAGAGGAAGAAGAAAUAUUAAUAAAUCUUUCAUGAAUGGUUACAGAAAUAAAACCCAGACUAUUCUGUGACUCAAAAUAACUGAAAUCCGUAAUUUUAAACCAACAAUUUGUAAACCCCUUUUAUGUAUAACUGGACUCACCCCCACAAACUCAGAAAACAAAG